UCGACGGUAACAGGAAGCAGCUUGCUGCUUUGCUGACGAGUGGCGGACGGGUGAGUAAUGUCUGGGAAACUGCCUGAUGGAGGGGGAUAACUACUGGAAACGGUAGCUAAUACCGCAUAACGUCGCAAGACCAAAGAGGGGGACCUUCGGGCCUCUUGCCAUCGGAUGUGCCCAGAUGGGAUUAGCUAGUAGGUGGGGUAAAGGCUCACCUAGGCGACGAUCCCUAGCUGGUCUGAGAGGAUGACCAGCCACACUGGAACUGAGACACGGUCCAGACUCCUACGGGAGGCAGCAGUGGGGAAUAUUGCACAAUGGGCGCAAGCCUGAUGCAGCCAUGCCGCGUGUAUGAAGAAGGCCUUCGGGUUGUAAAGUACUUUCAGCGGGGAGGAAGGGAGUAAAGUUAAUACCUUUGCUCAUUGACGUUACCCGCAGAAGAAGCACCGGCUAACUCCGUGCCAGCAGCCGCGGUAAUACGGAGGGUGCAAGCGUUAAUCGGAAUUACUGGGCGUAAAGCGCACGCAGGCGGUUUGUUAAGUCAGAUGUGAAAUCCCCGGGCUCAACCUGGGAACUGCAUCUGAUACUGGCAAGCUUGAGUCUCGUAGAGGGGGGUAGAAUUCCAGGUGUAGCGGUGAAAUGCGUAGAGAUCUGGAGGAAUACCGGUGGCGAAGGCGGCCCCCUGGA
rnacentral:rRNA from 5 species